AAAUUAUGGUGUGGGCACUUCUGAAUCAAUAUCUUGAAACACUCCCAUGCUUCGUUAAGGCUUUUUCCUUCUAAUUGCUUGAACAUGAAAAUUUCCCUUAUUAGUUA
rfam:Gossypium raimondii chromosome 2, whole genome shotgun sequence.